GUGUGGCACUGCCAGACCCCAUCUAUGGGGCAGCCACCCCACGCCUGCACUCGCUGUCCCCGCCGUCCCCAUCCCAUCAUCACACAGCCCCUGUAAAUACAGCACCCACCACCCCCCAGCCCGGGGCUGCUCCACGUGUUGGGGGGGGUGGGGGGUCCGUGGGACCCUCUGUGGGGAGCAGCACCCCCCCGGCAGCGGAGGGGAGGGGUGGGAGCCACAGAUUUGUUAUAAUUUUUUUUGUAGAAAGCACUGAUUUCCCUGUAAGUUGUUUCAGAAACACGAAAAGUGCUCAGAGUCACUGCGUGUGCAGCUCUGGGGGGUUUGGGGGGGGACGUACAGGAUGGGAGGGGGGGCGGUGCGGGGUUGGGGGGAGGAGGAGGAGGGUGUUGAACCCCAAAUAUUCCUGGUGGAUGAGCACAAAGCAGUGCAGCCCCGCGGAAAUGUGGAGAAACAGCAUCUGGCAACGCUGCUGCUGCUGCUUUAUUGCAGCCUGGGCUAAAAAAGGGGUGGGGGAAACGCGGCCCCAACCACAAACCAGCGCACGGACCCCAACCCGACCCCACCAAGAGCGGGGCAAAGAGGAACCCGACCCCAAAGAGUCCUCGGGUGAUGCGGGGAGGGGGAGUGGGCGCACAGAGGGGACGUUUGGGGGCAGCCCCGGCCCCAUUGCGUGCUGGUGGCAGUCCUGGCUGCAGCACGGGGACGAGGGCGGCCGUUGGUUUCCCUCUCCAUGCGCUCCCGGCGCUCCCUGCGCUCACGCUCCUGGGGGUCUUCUGGGAACAGGGGGAGAACCUCAGAGCUCAGCACUCCCCAGCACAGCCGGGGGGUCUUAGGGGCCAGGCGGGCAGCACGGCAGGGAUGACAGCGCACCUAGCAUCUUCCUCCCCAUCUCCUGGAACUGCUUCCUCUUCUUCCUCUCCUCCUCCAGCAGCCGCUGCCGCUCCUCCACCUCCUGCUGCCGCCGCCGCAGCGCCUCGGCCUCCCGCUCAGCCUUGGAGAGGAACUUGGGCUGCCAGAGGAGAGAAAGGCUCACAGCACGACUGGCCACGGCCACUUAUUGCUGGGACCACCCCGGGAUAGGACCCCCCCCGACGCCCAUCUGGGCACCGCUGUCACAAGCUGGGACUGCGCAGGAAGGGAGAACUCCCACCCCCCUUCCCACCUUCGCUUCUGCCUCCUCCUCGGCCUUCUUCUUCGCCAGCAGCUCCUCCAAGGACAGGGGCUGUGCCUGCAGACACAGGGCUGUGCUGUGACGCUUCUCCUCGCCCCGAGAGCCGCUCUCAAACCAAACCCCACUCCUCACCUUCUCCUUUUUCAGCGCAUUCUCCUCUUCCUCCUCUGCCUUCCGUGAGUCCCUCUCCUUGCGGGACUUGGAGUCCUUACCCCUGCUUGGGGACAAGCUUCCCCAACAAAACAAAAGGCAAUCAGGGACCGAACAGAGCCCCAAAUCCAAAGCCCGAAGCCCUAAAGCCCCCAAACCCAGAGCCCCGACCCCCUCCCCCACUCUCCACUGGUUGAAGCCCCCUCUGCCGGAACCCAGAUGCGCCCCAUUGGGCCGCACAGCAGCCAACCCGACUGGAAAUCCUCUCACCUGGAUCGCUUCCUGUCCUUGUCCCUCCGGUGCCCAUCCUUUUCCUUCUCCUUCUCCCUCUCCCGGUCCUUCUUCCCCCGGUCCCGCUCGCGCUCUUUGUGCCGCCGCUCCCUGAGAAACGGAAAAAUCGCCCCAAAUGGGAACAGCCGUCCUACAAAGACGUUCCUUCCCCCUUCCCACCCCCGGUAACCCAACGGCGCUCACCUGUCCAAGGACUUGGAACGGGACCGGGAGCGGGACCGGCUGCCCCUCCUCCUGUCCCGGGAGCGGUGCCGCUUCCUGUCCUUGCUU
rnacentral:lncRNA from 1 species